rnacentral:rRNA from 1 species
AACGAACGCUGGCGGCAGGCCUAACACAUGCAAGUCGAACGCCCGUAGCAAUACGGGAGUGGCAGACGGGUGAGUAACGCGUGGGAACGUGCCCUUCGGUUCGGAAUAACUCAGGGAAACUUGAGCUAAUACCGGAUACGUCCGUAAGGAGAAAGAUUUAUCGCCGAAGGAUCGGCCCGCGUCGGAUUAGCUAGUUGGUGAGGUAACGGCCCACAAGGCGACGAUCCGUAGCUGGUCUGAGAGGANGAUCAGCCACACUGGGACUGAGACACGGCCCAGACUCCUACGGGAGGCAGCAGUGGGGAAUAUUGGACAAUGGGCGAAGGCCUGAUCCAGCGAUGCCGCGUGUGUGAAGAAGGCCUGCGGGUUGUAAAGCACUUUCAGUA